GGAGGUGCAGCUCAGUGGCAAAGCAUCUGCUAGAUGUGCUGAAGGUACCAGGUUCUGUUCCGGGCAUCUCCA
rnacentral:tRNA from 1 species